rnacentral:lncRNA from 1 species
GUUCUGGGGACAUGCUCCAAGUUAGAAAGCCAGGCCAGCGCCAGGCAGGUGGACAGUGUUUCCAGUGGCCUUCCUGUGGCCUCGACAUGGUCAGCUCCCGGGCUGCCUCUGUGGCUAGCUCUGGGACCUUCCCAGGUGCCACAUCCCUGGCUCCAUGGGACCCUCUCCAGGCCUGGGGCCAGCAGGACCCCUGGAGAUGUGCCCCUCUUUCUC